rnacentral:rRNA from 1 species
UACGGAGGGUGCAAGCGUUAUCCGGAUUCACUGGGUUUAAAGGGUGCGUAGGUGGGCAGGUAAGUCAGUGGUGAAAUCUCCGGGCUUAACCCGGAAACUGCCGUUGAUACUAUUUGUCUUGAAUGUCGUGGAGGUGAGCGGAAUAUGUCAUGUAGCGGUGAAAUGCUUAGAGAUGACAUAGAACACCGAUUGCGAAGGCAGCUCACUACGCGAAUAUUGACACUGAGGCACGAAAGCGCGGGGAUCAAACAGG